GUUGUUUUCCUGUGGACGGAAGUUGCUUAAUCAGACUGGAAUGCAGAGUGACUUUUCCUCUCUCCAUGGAGCAAGCAAGAGAGAGACGGACAGAAAAAGUCUUUCGAAACACAAAGAUAUUUGACUUCUUCACGUCCAGCAACCAGCGACAGAAACAUCUCCUAUUUUGGCCGAGUUUAUUAAUUAAUUGAAGUUUUUAUUGAUCUCAGCAGUGGCUGCCAUCAUUGGGCACCAGAGAGCAGUCAGGGUUAAGGGUCUUGCUCAGAGACCCAGAGUGGCAGUCUGUGGAAGAGGGUUUCAAACUCGCAACCUCAGGAUUCCAAGCUCUAUGCCCCAACCACAAGGCCAGCACUUCCCUCCAAGCUUUUCAUGUUAGCUGCAGCACUUUCUAGUUCUGCCAGUGUUCUUUGCUCGAGCCGCUUCGGCUAGAUGACCGUGAUUCCUCCAGUCUCCGCCUCAUUCGGUCUCGGCUGCACGGCUUCAGUUCAACAGGCUCACCUCGGCAUUUAGUGAUCAGCUGGUCACAAGUCUGAGGACUCUCGUGCCGCUCCGAGCCCCCCUGGGCUCAGGGCACCGUAUCCUAACCUUUCAGCCAAACUCAUCCAACUCCUGUGUCUACAUACCAUUUUCAUUACUCUGUAAAUAAUAAUGCACGUCCUCCACAACACCCCAUGUUUAAGACAACCACAAUACUGUUUGAAGUUUAAUUAAAUUCUCCAUGUUAUUAAUUUGCCUUGUUAAUUGUUUUAUGAAAAAACUAUUUAUAAAUCAUAAUUUUCCCAUAGCAAAACCACUUUCCAGCUUUUGCUUCAAGGUGUUAAAAGGACUUCAUUUUAUUUAUCUCUUACCCCUAAUAAUUGUUGAGUUGUAUUUGUUCUAUCAAGUUUCAUCAAAAGUUAAUUACAUUAA